CCCUACGGGAGGCAGCAGUGAGGGAUAUUGGUCAAUGGGGGAAACCCUGAACCAGCAACGCCGCGUGAGGGAAGACGGCCCUAUGGGUUGUAAACCUCUUUUGUCGGAGAACAAAACCCGGGACGUGUCCCGGACUGCGUGUAUCCGAAGAAAAAGCAUCGGCUAACUCCGUGCCAGCAGCCGCGGUAAUACGGAGGAUGCGAGCGUUAUCCGGAUUUAUUGGGUUUAAAGGGCGCGUAGGCGGUCCGUUAAGUCAGCGGUAAAAUUGCGGGGCUCAACCCCGUCGAGCCGUUGAAACUGGCAGA
rnacentral:rRNA from 1 species